rnacentral:rRNA from 1 species
UACGUAGGGUCCGAGCGUUGUCCGGAAUCAUUGGGCGUAAAGGGCGCGUAGGCGGCUUCAUAAGUCUUGGGUGAAAGCCCUCGGCUCAACCGAGGAAUUGCCUUGGAUACUGUGAAGCUCGAGGCUGGAAGAGGACAGUGGGAUUCCCGGUGUAGCGGUGAAAUGCGUAGAUAUCGGGAGGAACACCAGUGGCGAAGGCGGCUGUCUGGGCCAGUUCUGACGCUGAGGCGCGAAAGCGUGGGGAGCAAACAGG